rnacentral:rRNA from 1 species
UACGUGGGUGGCAAGCGUUGUUCGGAAUUAUUGGGCGUAAAGGGCGCGUAGGCGGUUUGUUAAGUCAGCUGUGAAAGCCCGGGGCUCAACCCCGGAGGGUCAGCUGAUACUGGCAGGCUAGAGUACAGAAGAGGUAACUGGAAUUCCCGGUGUAGCGGUGAAAUGCGUAGAUAUCAGGAGGAACACCAAUGGCGAAGGCAGCUCGCUGGGACGUGACUGACGCUGAGACGCGAAAGCGUGGGGAGCAAACAGG